rnacentral:rRNA from 1 species
UCGUACCUUUUGCAUCAUGGUUUAACUAGCAAAACCAAGCAAAAUGAAAUUUAAGUUUGCCCCCCCGAAACUAAGCGAGCUACUUCAAAAUAGCCUCACGGGCCAACCCGUCUCUGUUGCAAAAGAGUGGGAAAAUUUUUAAGUAGAGGUGACACACCUACCGAGCCUAGAGAUAGCUGGUUAUUCAGGAAAAGGAUAUAGUUCAAUUUUAAAUCUCUCCUAUACCACCAAAUACACUUUUAGUUUUAAAAUUUAUUCAAAUAAGGUACAGCCUAUUUGAAACAGGAUACAACCUAUUAAGCAGGGUAAUGCUACAUCUAAAUGACCAAGUUGGCCUAAGAGCAGCCACCUUUCAAAAAACGUUACAGCUUCAUCAUAAAAUAUUUUUAAUAUUUACAAAAAUCAAAACCCUCUAUCCCCACUGAAUGACUCCAUACCUAUAUGGAAGACCUUAUGUUAAAACUAGUAAUAAGAAUAAAUUCUCCACAAAGCACGUGUAAGCCGGAAUGAACCAUUCACCGGCACUUACCGCCAAUGAAUAAAUAGUAAUAACUUCACAAGAAAACCUUACUUUACUAAACGUUAACCUUACACUAGAACUUUUCAGGAAGAUUAAAAGAGAAGGAAGGAACUCGGCAAAUAAGUAACCCCGCC